UACGUAGGGUGCGAGCGUUGUCCGGAAUUAUUGGGCGUAAAGGGCUCGUAGGCGGUUUGUCGCGUCGGGAGUGAAAACCUCGGGCUUAACUCGGGGCUUGCUUUCGAUACGGGCAGACUGGAGGUAUGCAGGGGAGAACGGAAUUCCUGGUGUAGCGGUGAAAUGCGCAGAUAUCAGGAAGAACACCGAUGGCGAAGGCAGCUCUCUGGGACGGUACUGACGCUGAGACGCGAAAGCGUGGGGAGCGAACAGG
rnacentral:rRNA from 1 species